rnacentral:rRNA from 1 species
CCUGGUGGCUCUCAGCGAAGUGGCCAGACCCGAUCCCAUCCCGAACUCGGCCGUCAAACGCUUCCGCGCCAAUGGUACUCUGUCUCAAGACACGGGAGAGUAGGUCGCCGCCAGGC